rnacentral:rRNA from 1 species
UACGUAGGGAGCAAGCGUUUGUCCGGAAUUAUUGGGCGUAAAGAGCUCGUAGGCGGUUUGUCGCGUCUGCUGUGAAAACGCGAGGCUCAACCUCGCGCCUGCAGUGGGUACGGGCAGACUGGAGUGCGGUAGGGGAGAUUGGAAUUCCUGGUGUAGCGGUGGAAUGCGCAGAUAUCAGGAGGAACACCGAUGGCGAAGGCAGCUCGCUGGGACGGUACUGACGCUGAGGCGCGAAAGCGUGGGGAGCAAACAGG